GUGCCAGCAGCCGCGGUAACACGUAGGAGACGAGCGUUAUCCGGAUUUACUGGGUGUAAAGCGCGUGUAGGCGGUCGAGUAAGUUGGAUGUGAAAGCUCCCGGCUCAACUGGGAGAGGUCGUUCAAUACUGCUUGGCUAGAGGACAGCAGAGGGGAGUGGAAUUCCGAGUGUAGCGGUAAAAUGCAUAGAUAUUCGGAAGAACACCAGUGGCGAAGGCGGCUCUCUGGGCUGGUCCUGACGCUCAGACGCGAAAGCUAGGGUAGCAAACGGGAUUAGAAACCCCAGUAGUCC
rnacentral:rRNA from 1 species